rnacentral:rRNA from 1 species
GCGAGGCCGAAAGGCGUAGUCGAUGGGAAACGGGUUAAUAUUCCCGUACUUCUUACAAUUGCGAUGGGGGGACGGAGAAGGCUAGGUGGGCCUGGCGACGGUUGUCCAGGUUCAAGUGCGUAGGCUUGAGAGUUAGGUAAAUCCGGCUCUUUCUAAGGCUGAGACACGACGUCGAGCACCUACGGGUGUGAAGUCAUUGAUGCCAUGCUUCCAGGAAAAGCCUCUAAGCUUCAGAUUGUAAGGAAUCGUACCCCAAACCGACACAGGUGGUCGGGUAGAG